UGAGAACUGAAUUCCAUGUGUUG
rnacentral:miRNA from 2 species